AACGCACAUUGCGCCCUGUGGUAUUCCGCAGGGCAUGCCUGUUCGAGCGUCAGUACAACACUCAAGCCUAGCUUGGUCUUGGGCCUCGCCGGAAACGGCGGGCCUUAAAAGUAGUGGCGGCGCCCGCUGGGCUUUAAGCGUAGUAAUACUCCUCGCUAUAGGGACCCGGUGGAUGCUGGCCAGCAACCCCCAACUUUCUAAGUUUGACCUCGGAUCAGGUAGGGAUACCCGCUGAACUUAA
rnacentral:misc_RNA from 1 species